GUUCAGACUCAGGAACUCAGCACAGGGAUGGUGGGGGCCCCUCAUAAUGGGCACAGCAGGUGUACAGACCCGGUAACUUGGCACAGGGAUGGCGGGAACCCCCCAUAAUGGGCACAGCAGGUGUAUAGACCCCGCAACUCAGCACAAGGAUAGUGGGAACCGUCAUAAUGGGCACAGCAGGUGUACAGAC